rnacentral:lncRNA from 1 species
AAAUAAGUUAAAAAAUAAUAAAAUAAAAUAAAAUAAUCGAUCUUUACAUGAUAAAAUCAAUUUUAUUAUGGUGGUGACAAUCGAAGAAUCAAAAGAUUUGGAAGAAAUGACUAUGGAUUAAGUCGUGGACACUUUACAAGCUAAUGCUUAGAAGUCAUUGAAAAGGAAGAAAGAAUCGAUGGUGCAAGUCUUGCAAGACAACAAGAGAAGAAUAACAAAAGCCAAAGAUGCAGAUGAUUUAAAAGAAAUCGUGGAAGAGGAGAUAAAAAAUUUCAAUAUUGAUUCAAUACCAGUUUUACCAAAAUUCAGUUUAGAAAUUUCACAUUUGUAAUUUCGAUGAUAUAUUCUAAUUUAUCUUAUAAAGAAGGAGUCGCCAUUAGAGUUUUAUAUUACCAUAAAAAGCGAGAAUAACUAGAGAAAAU